UUCGCAAAAGAAUUGAAUACCUAUUGUUUCAAGUGUUGCAUUCUGAAAUCACAUGCUAUUUGGAAUCAUAUAAAUCGAUUAUGAACUGUCAUCUCCGUCUAUUAAUUCCCUGUCUACGAAUUCUUUGUCAAUUUCCGAUUCGUUUUUUUUGGUUUCAGUCCUUUCAAUCUGAAAAGAGAACAGUUCUUCAAUCAUGAUGAUUGUGUUUGGAAAGCUUUACAGCAUAUUGUACAGACAGAAAUCCUUAUCAAAUCGGAUCAAAACAUAUUCUGUCUGAUAUGGUGCCUCCUGAUAAAUACACGCACAAAUUAAAGGUGUCCAAUUAAUUGACGAAACGCCAAAAGAAUCGGGUCAAUCAAGUCGUACAGUACAAUAUUCUUUCUUGAUCAUGGAGGCAGCACCAUGUUCAUUUAGUGAUGAGAAUUUACUCGGGAAAGGAGGAACGGAUUAACAAAGGAAGUCUAUGUUCAGGAGAUCUAUGAAAUGUGCUUUUAGAGAAACCAUCUCUGACUUACUUUCAGAACAGAUUAGCAAUAACAAGCACCACGGAUUUGAACUGUUUAGUCAUCACAAGCAGUGAGAAGCUUUUCAAAUAGUUGAACAACAGAUUAAGCACUUAUUGUGUGUGACUAUAUUGUUUCACCAUCAAUAUUGUGGAAUCAGACAGCGUCCAUGGUCACAAUGGCCUGGUGAGAUCAAGGACCGAGGAAAAAAUAACAAACAAUUGGGUACCAUGCCAAAGCUGCGCUCAUCCCACAGCUAUAAUGCCUCGCUUAAGUGAUGUGAUUGGAUGUUAGACCACCCCGUCAUAUUACAGUUUGCACCAUGAAAGGCAAAACACCAAUUGAAGUUUCAUAGAACCAUCACCCAGCUGCUCUCCUCAAAAUGGAAACCCGCCUGCACUGUGAGCUUUCCACCCCGUCUUAUAUGCAUGUACCAACAUUUUUCCGGUUGCACAAUCAUGUUAAUCCGAUUUUUCUCGAUUAAUUUUGCGGCCAUGCAUGUAGCCUGCUAAUGUCUUCAUAUGCACCACCACUGCCAGCAAGUACUCAUUGAAAAAGGUCUGCACCAUUUUUCCUGCCCUUGGUGUAGCAAGAUAGUAGUGGAUGAUGAGACAUUUGGUGCACAAAAUGUGAGACUGAAUUGGACGUACCUGUUGCAAUGUUAAGUGCCACCUGAAAAUACUAUAUGAUUCCAGUUUGUGGAUGCCUAUCCGAUUGUUAUUUUACUAGCCAGUUGACCAAUUGUUUUUAGCCUCCAGGUUCCUGCUGCUCUCUCCGGGUGCUGUUGAAUGGGUCAGUGGUAAAAAAUAGAUUUAGUUCUAGACAGGGUGAAGAUUACAAUUGGUGUUGCAAAUGGAUCAUUGGCUUCUGCAACACAUACUUGACUUUAUGCCAAGGCAACUAUUUGUCUAUGCAGAGAAGUACUAUAUAGUUAGGAAAAGUGUUCUGAAUGUUCAGAGAACGUAAUUUUAAUGAUAGAACUUUGAGGUUCGGUUGGUUAAGCUCCAUGGCAUAGUCACAUGACAAGGGAAGAUGCUGCAGAAAAUGGGUAGUUGCUUUGUGCUUGAGAUUGUGUGCUGCUGCAGGACAACAAAUGGAGAAGCAACUGGUGAGAUGGAGCAGCAAUGUAAAGCUGAAGCUGCUGUUGUGAAUGUGCUUGAUGUUGUUUGAGAAAGAGUUGAACUGCUUAGAUGUAUGCUUAGGUUUCAGGUACAAAGUUCAGGUGCAGAGCAUGGCUGAAAUAUGGCCUAAAAACAGUCAGGAAUCGUCCAGAACUCGACCAGUUUCCGAGUUAGCCGAGUUGAGCCACCGAUCCAGUAGCUGACUCAGAUGGACUUGGGCUGGGUUCUAAUGUUCACAUGCCAGCCCAUAAAGGUGUUGGACGUGCAGAUUAUACUUGCACUAGUUUGGCAAGUUAGAGGCUAUAAAAGGGAGAAACCCACCGCUAUUCUGAUUUAUCUCUCUACUUCUAAUUUUGUUUUAGGGUUUGGAAACAUGAAAGCUUUUCUUUUUCUUAUUAUUAUGAACUCCAUGAACAUGAGUACUUAAUUUUCUUUUGGUUAUGGAUUAGUUGGAUUUCACAUAACAUGGUUCUUUGAUUCAAUAUAUUAGUUUUUUCUCA